rnacentral:rRNA from 1 species
CCAGACUCCUACGGGGGGCAGCAGUAAGGGAUAUUGGUCAAUGGGGGAAACCCUGAACCAGCAACGCCGCGUGAGGGAAGACGGUUUUCGGAUUGUAAACCUCUGUCCUCUGUGAAGAUGAUGACGGUAGCAGAGGAGGAAGCCCCGGCUAACUACGUGCCAGCAGCCGCGGUAAUACGUAGGGGGCAAGCGUUAUCCGGAUUUACUGGGUGUAAAGGGAGCGUAGACGGCAUAGCAAGUCUGAAGUGAAAGCCCGUGGCUCAACCGCGGAACUGCUUUGGAAACUGUAUAGCUGGAGUGCAGGAGAGGUAAGUGGAAUUCCUAGUGUAGCGGUGAAAUGCGUAGAUAUUAGGAGGAACACCAGUGGCGAAGGCGGCUUACUGGACUGUAACUGACGUUGAGGCUCGAAAGCGUGGGGAGCAAACAGGAUUAGAUACCCGCGUA